AGUGAACGCUGGCGGUAGGCCUAACACAUGCAAGUCGAACGGCAGCACAGUAAGAGCUUGCUCUUACGGGUGGCGAGUGGCGGACGGGUGAGGAAUACAUCGGAAUCUACUUUUUCGUGGGGGAUAACGUAGGGAAACUUACGCUAAUACCGCAUACGACCUACGGGUGAAAGCAGGGGAUCUUCGGACCUUGCGCGAUUGAAUGAGCCGAUGUCGGACUAGCUAGUUGGCGGGAUAAAGGCCCACCAAGGCGACGAUCCGUAGCUGGUCUGAGAGGAUGAUCAGCCAAACUGGGACUGAGACACGGUCCAGAAUCCUACGGGAGGCAGCAGGGGGGAAUAUUGGAGAAAGGGCGGAAGCCUGAUCCAGCCAUACCGCGGGGGUGAAGAAGGCCUUCGGGUUGUAAAACCCGUUUGUUGGGAAAGAAAAGCAGCAGGUUAAUACCCCGCUGUUCUGACGGUACCCAAAGAAUAAGCACCGGCUAACUUCGUGC
rnacentral:rRNA from 1 species